rnacentral:lncRNA from 1 species
CCAGCAUAAUAUUCCCCGGACUGCCACGCGUUGCUUCAUGAAUAUUGAAUAUUGUUCACUCGUGACAAAAUCUCCCCUUCGACUUCUCUGCGUUAUCAGUGAACGCCGCUACGUAUAAAAAGCAACGUUGUUUUCAGACGUCGCUUUUGCUGUAAACGAUCGGCAAAAUUUGCAAGACUGCUGCAGAUUUUUGCCCCACUACCGAUACAUGAAUACAAAGUGGAAAGGAAAUCGAGUCAUUUGACAACUGCAAGAGAUACAUCCGCUGUCCUCUACACCACCAUAUACUAGACAAUGGAGUGGAGUCUAGGUAGAAAGGUUGCCAUCGGAGUGUGCAUCCUUCUCAUUGUGGGAGGCAUCGUGGCUGCCGUGGUCGUCACUCAAGUCGUCAAUAAAUAGAACGGACGAACCCGACUCGAGGUGAAACGAUGACGGCUCUGGAGGAGAAUGGGGAGAAUGGGUGGAGCUCCGAGGCCUGGCAGAGGAUGCUCUCUACGGAAAGUGGCUACAGGGGUCAAGAUGGUGUUGUAAAGACCAGCAGCUGAACGGGAUGGGGUUCAUCAUAUCUUUGGUGCAGUCAGCCGGUGGUCAGUCUCAGUUGUUCGAAUCUCGGUGACCCCCGGAAGCCCGCCAUUUAUAAUCAUUAGGUUUGUUAUUUUUAAAAUUUAUUUUCGGGGAAGGCUGCAAUUGCAUGUUUUAUACACUGUACCUGAUUUUGAAUGGUGUGUAUUUCAAAUACGUUAACUCAACAGGAAUCCCUUCUUAAGAUGUAUACUUUCCAGACGGUUACUUUUUAUUAGACCUUCGGUGCACUUCGGGAAAAACAUUAUUCUUUGCACUGUACAUAUUGUAUAUGUCCAUGUACAGUUUUAUACUCAACGAGAGCCUUAAGGGAAAUGUAGUGUAUGAACUCUCUUCAAUCUGCGGGUAUCUUUAGAGCCUCGCUUUCGUACACUGAACUCCCGUCUAUCUUAUGCAAACGCGUUCUGGACAGGAGCGGUGCUUUCAGUGCAAACUCAGUGAUAAGAUCAUGUAGCUGAGAAGGGAAGUGGGUUGAAAUUUAGCCAAUUGCGAUUGUACGUAUACCGCGUACUUCAAGGGACAUUGCUUCCUUUGCCAUGGCACGACUAAGUUCCGGGCCACGUCCUAAACGGGUACCUGUUUCUUUUCCAGUAACAGAUGACCUUGUCUUUUAUACCCUGUCAUUUCUCUUUACCAUGCGUAUGAUUUUUAAGUCCUCAUUAAGUCCUCCCGUAGAAUAAAAGAUUUUUGAUAUAGUACCAUUUUGUAAAGACAUUUUUUGUUUUCUAAGCCACAGCUUCCAUCACAUCAAUUAUCAUGCGUCCUCGUCACUACCUUUGCAACUGUGUCAUUUUUCUUCAUAUCGUAAGCUACGUGUAUUUUAUGGAGUGAAGAGUUAAUUUGUAAUCGCGAUUUUUUUGUUUUCUCAAGUUGAAGUUUGUACCAAGAUUCACUUUAAAAACUUGUCAAGUAUUUUGAGGUGCUGAACGACUAGUAACCACUUUCCAUACGCUUUAAUGAACGAAAACAUGAUAAACCAUGAUAAUUCAAUGUAUGUGUGUUCCUGAACUUCAAGUGACAUGUGAACUUGUACUUCCUCGUGCGAAGAACCUUUCAUAAUGCCACAAUUACGUUGCUUCACAGGGUUAGGUUUCGGUAUCAUUUUUUUGUGCAAUGUUCAUAACUGAGUUAGAAUACUAAACGUCUGGCCCAGUUCAAGUACGAGGGAAAUUCAUCUGCAUGCACACUAUGCCACUUUUCGCCAAAUUGUUUUGAAUGGUUUACGUUCUCCAUUUGAUUUCUAUUAGUAUUUUUUCAUCUUUGACAACUUUCAGAGAAGUGUGUACGUGCUACCCGUAUAAUCAGCACAAUUUUUAAGUAGAGAAAUAUUAUAGAUAAGGUGUUUGUCAAGUUAUUUUGCAAUUUUAAAACUCUUUAUUUCAAAGUUUAUCACUAUUUUAAAUUAAAUUUUCUUUAACCGUUUACUUUCAUCAUGAAGUGGAAGCACGCCUGUAACACGAAAACAAAAUGCCUUCAAACGUUUUGAUUAAAUCGACAUUUGGCUUUUGCCUGUAGCCCUAGCUCUUUAAA